rnacentral:lncRNA from 1 species
GGUUUCUCCAGCACCUGGGUCCUGCUGGCAACCAGCAGCACCCAGUGGCCAGCAGCGUACUCUUUCACCUCUUCUUGGGUGACUUUGUGGAAUGCUCCAAUGUGACAUCUCCCUGUGAACGCCUUUCCUGACACCCUAAAAAGUGUCAGGAAUUUCCAGCAAGUUCCAGAGAGCAGGUUUCCAGCAAGUUUGGUCAGUAUGACACCACAGCGAUAUCUCUGCCAUUCACUGAACUUGGAUUCUUCCUUCUUCAGUGAGAGAUGUUCAAGAAAAAGAACAACUUCAGUGGAAGAAGAAGAAGAUAGGAGCCCAGGUCCUGUGUUUCACCAAGACAGCCGUGCAAAGCAGAUGCUGCCAAAAAGGUGCAAAGUGGUUUGUCAGCUCUUCUGCAUGUUCUAACAAAUUAGACAUGCAUCCCAAAAGGUUUCCUAGACUUUCCAUCACCACCAGUGAAUUCUGAGUGACAAUAGUGUGGAAUUUGGAAGAAUGGAAGAGAAACUGAAGUGGAGAGAUGGUGAAAGAGAAGAAAAAAUGAAGAAAGAUGCUUGCAAAAAUACUGCUGUGGGUCCUGAGAUGAGGAUUCUGGGAGGGCUGAAAUGGAUGCCCCUGACAGCUCCCUUUGAGUUCCUGUUCAUCUGAAGUACACCAGCUUUCUAGAUAUGCUGUCACUUUCCUUCUGCAGAGCCACAGUGGUGUCCUGUCUUCUCAGACCUCUUCUCACCUCAAAUCACUUAGGACUCGGCCACCAGACAGAUUUGGGAUUUCAGAACUUUUCAGAUGUUAGAAAGUUCUUUUCUAAAUGUGAUGAGGAAUUACGGAAUCAUAAAAUGGAAGCAGAGUUAAACUCAGACAUGUGGGCACUCAAGGCAAUUAGGAGCUUUCUGCGAUGAGAAAGGGAUCAGACUGAUCCUUAAGACUUUAUGCAACCCCAGAGUAUUGCAGCCACCUGCAUGCCGAAGGUGUCAAGAGUGUUCUCACUGCUGCCUAUAGGAGGGUCUUCAGCCUCCAGUGAUCCAAAGUACCAGGCUGACCUGUGACUGCUUCGGCCAACUGAAUAGGGAAGAGUGAUGCUGUGCUGUUUCCAGGCCUGUUCUUUAAAAGUACUUGGAAGCUUCUGCCUUGGCCUCUUUGUGCCUGAGUUGCUGUAUAAGAAUCUGACUACCUUGCUGGAGAGACCUUGUGGAGAAGACUUGACCUUAUAUGCAGAGGUAGAGGGGCCCUGGUUAGUCCAGCCAUCUAGCCAUCCUGUCAAAAUAGCAGGAGUAUGAUGGCCAAUGGAUCCAAAACCUAUCCUAUAUCUACAUGUUGGUGGCCACAUUAAUCUGACAUCUGACAGCAAGAGCGAUGAUUGGGUUCACUGGAAAUCUUUGUGAAGUACGAGUGAAGUCCUUGUGAAGUCAGAGUUUCCUCUUCAUGCCUCUACUCCUAUGCAGUUUGACCUCUCAGUGUGCAGCUGGUGAUAGAUGGAAACCCUUGUUCAUAAGCUUUGUGGCACUGUCGGCAGGAUGAGGGGACUUCUGGAUCCUCACUGGUCACUGUGGCAGAGUGGUUGGUGUUGUCUGCUCCCUAGACAGGAACCCACUGAAGAAUCUGACAUUUUUUGAUAUGCUGGCAUUCAUUGUUACAGCCCAUCAUCCCAGCCAUCAAUCCAGGACAUGGGGUCUGUGCCCACGGUGGGAAGGAGGAGGGGGAAGCUGGCUUUGUUCUGACGUUGGGCUUCUUCUGCUCCACCAGUACUUUCUGUGGGGGAAAUAGGUAAAGAAAUGGCUGUUCAGAUGAGAAGAUGUGUCAGUAAACUUUUGCUACAGUGAUGCUGCAAAACAAAUCACUGGUGACUUUCAGUGGCACACAGCAAUAAACAUUUAUUUAGCUCAGGGAUUGACAAUCUUUUUUUUUUUUUAAAGGGCCAAAUAGUAAAUAUUUUAGGUGUUUCAGGCCAUACAGUCUCUGAACUCUGAACUUGUAGCACAACAGUAGCCUUAGAUGCUAUGCAAAUGGAGGAGCAUGACUGUGUUCCAAUAAAACUUUAUUUAUGGACACU